rnacentral:rRNA from 1 species
CGCAAUGGGCGAAAGCCUGACGGAGCAAUACCGCGUGAGGGAUGAAAGCCUGUGGGUUGUAAACCUCUUUUCUCAAGGAAGAAUUUUGACGGUACUUGAGGAAUAAGCAUCGGCUAACUCUGUGCCAGCAGCCGCGGUAAUACAGAGGAUGCAAGCGUUAUCCGGAAUCACUGGGCAUAAAGCGUCUGUAGGUCGCGAAUUAAGCCUGUUGUUAAAGAUCAGGGCCUAACCCUGAGAAAGCAAUGGAAACUAAUACGCUUGAGUGUGGUAGAGGUAGAGGGAAUUCUUAGUGUAGCGGUGAAAUGCGUAGAUAUUAGGAU